AUUGAAACCCCCACAUUAUCAGAAGAACAAGUUUUGUGAUGCGUAGCACCUCUAAUCCGGAGCUUAACUCGAGCUGGAAUUAUCGACGAUGGCUGACUAAAACAUUUUGAUGGCUAUGCAAUGCUUGAUGAUGAGUUGUCGGAUAGUAAGAUGGAUGAAAAUGGUAAUUUGAUUAACUCAUUGGAUCAACGUUUUCCUGUGACUAUGAAACACAGGGAACCAUAUACAGGCAUGGUGUUCGAGUCAGCGGAGGAUGCUAGGGAGUACUAUGAACAAUCGCACACGCCGAUCACUCAAGGAUAAUUCGAUUAUCGGUCGAGAGUUCGUUUGCUCAAAAGAAGGUUUUCGUGCAGAGAGAUAUACAAAGAAAGAAACCAGAGUUUCCCAAUCACGGCCUGCGACGAGAGAGGGAUGUAAUGCAAUGCUGAGAAUAGCAGCAAAAGGUGGGGGAAAUGGGGCAUCUAUGGUUUUGUUUGAGAACAUAAUCAUGAACUUAAUCCGAGCAAAAUACCACCUCGACGGUCGCAUCGAAUCACGUUUUAUGAGGAUGAAAAAGAUCUUAAAAUUCUAGAUUUGUCGUUGGAACUUCAUUGCAAGAAAAAGAAAUUUGCUGCUUACCAAGAACAACUUCAGAUGGUUUUAAAUUAUAUCGAAGAACACACACAGCGGCUACCCUUAGAAGUAAACUUGGUGUCCAAAAAUCUGAGGGAGCUUGAAUCUGAAGACUAAGAAAGCUUAUUUUC